GGGCAUGUAACGCAGUGGUAGCGUGCACGCUUUGCAGGAGUCGUUUCAGCGAAUCCAAGCGUGCGUGAAGUCCUGGGUUCGAUCCCCAGCUUGUCCA